GCUGGGCGUGGUGGUGCACGCCUGUAAUCCCAGCGGCUCUGGAGGCUGAGGCAGGAGAAUCACGAGUUCAGAGCCAGCCUCAACAAUUUAGUGAGGUCUGAGAAACUCAGUGAGACACUGUCUCUA
rnacentral:sRNA from 1 species